rnacentral:rRNA from 1 species
AGGUUAUAAGCAAUCGUACCCCAAACCGACACAGGUGAUCAGGUAGAGAAUACCAAGGCGCUUGAGAGAACUCGGGUGAAGGAACUAGGCAAAAUGGUACCGUAACUUCGGGAGAAGGUACGCUCCUCGCGGUGAUGAGACUUGCUCUCUAAGCUGCUGGGAGUCGCAGAUACCAGGUGGCUGCAACUGUUUAUUAAAAACACAGCACUGUGCAAAAUCGAAAGAUGACGUAUACGGUGUGACGCCUGCCCGGUGCCGGAAGGUUAAUUGAUGGGGUUAGACUUCGGUCGAAGCUCUUGAUCGAAGCCCCGGUAAACGGCGGCCGUAACUAUAACGGUCCUAAGGUAGCGAAAUUCCUUGUCGGGUAAGUUCCGACCUGCACGAAUGGCGUAAUGAUGGCCACGCUGUCUCCACCCGAGACUCAGUGAAAUUGAAAUCGCAGUGAAGAUGCUGUGUACCCGCGGCUAGACGGAAAGACCCCGUGAACCUUUACUACAGCUUGGCACUGAACAUUGACCCUACAUGUGUAGGAUAGGUGGGAGCCUUUGAAGCAUUGUCGCUAGAUGAUGUGGAGGCAAUCUUGAAAUACCACCCUUGUAUGCUUGAUGUUCUAACGUCGCCCCCUUAUCGGGGGUGCGGACAGUGCCUGGUGGGUAGUUUGACUGGGGCGGUCUCCUCCCAAAGAGUAACGGAGGAGCACGAAGGUGGGCUAAUCACGGUCGGACAUCGUGAGGUUAGUGCAAUGGCAUAAGCCCGCUUGACUGCGAGAAUGACAAUUCGAGCAGGUGCGAAAGCAGGUCAUAGUGAUCCGGUGGUUCUGAAUGGAAGGGCCAUCGCUCAACGGAUAAAAGGUACUCCGGGGAUAACAGGCUGAUACCGCCCAAGAGUUCAUAUCGACGGCGGUGUUUGGCACCUCGAUGUCGGCUCAUCACAUCCUGGGGCUGAAGUCGGUCCCAAGGGUAUGGCUGUUCGCCAUUUAAAGUGGUACGCGAGCUGGGUUUAGAACGUCGUGAGACAGUUCGGUCCCUAUCUGCCGUGGGCGUUAGAUGAUUGAGAGGGGCUGCUCCUAGUACGAGAGGACCGGAGUGGACGAACCGCUGGUGUUCGGGUUGUUAUGCCAAUAGCAUUGCCCGGUAGCUACGUUCGGAAUCGAUAAGCGCUGAAAGCAUCUAAGCGCGAAGCGAGCCUCAAGAUGAGUCAUCUCUAGACCUUUAAGGUCUCUAAAGGGUUGUCGAAGACUACGACGUUGAUAGGCAGGGUGUGUAAGUGCUGCGAGGCAUUGAGCUAACCUGUACUAAUUGCCCGUGAGGCUUAACCAU